AUUGUUUCUUCGGAAAUGAGAGAGCGGCGUACGGGUGCGGAACACGUGUGCAACCUGCCUUUAUCUGGGGGAUAGCCUUUCGAAAGGAAGAUUAAUACUCCAUAACAUAUUGAUUGGCAUCAAUUAAUAUUGAAAGCUCCGGCGGAUAGAGAUGGGCACGCGCAAGAUUAGCUAGUUGGUGAGGUAACGGCUCACCAAGGCGAUGAUCUUUAGGGGGCCUGAGAGGGUGAUCCCCCACACUGGUACUGAGACACGGACCAGACUCCUACGGGAGGCAGCAGUGAGGAAUAUUGGUCAAUGGGUGCAAGCCUGAACCAGCCAUCCCGCGUGAAGGACGACUGCCCUAUGGGUUGUAAACUUCUUUUGUAUAGGGAUAAACCUACCCUCGUGAGGGUAGCUGAAGGUACUAUACGAAUAAGCACCGGCUAACUCCGUGCCAGCAGCCGCGGUAAUACGGAGGGUGCAAGCGUUAUCCGGAUUUAUUGGGUUUAAAGGGUCCGUAGGCGGACUUAUAAGUCAGUGGUGAAAGCCUGUCGCUUAACGAUAGAACUGCCAUUGAUACUGUAAGUCUUGAGUAUAUUUGAGGUAGCUGGAAUAAGUAGUGUAGCGGUGAAAUGCAUAGAUAUUACUUAGAACACCAAUUGCGAAGGCAGGUUACCAAGAUAUAACUGACGCUGAGGGACGAAAGCGUGGGGAGCGAACAGGAUUAGAUACCCUGGUAGUCCACGCCGUAAACGAUGCUAACUCGUUUUUGGGCUUUAGGGUUCAGAGACCAAGCGAAAGUGAUAAGUUAGCCACCUGGGGAGUACGCUCGCAAGAGUGAAACUCAAAGGAAUUGACCGGGGCCCGCACAAGCGGUGGAUUAUGUGGUUUAAUUCGAUGAUACGCGAGGAACCUUACCAAGACUUAAAUGGGAAUUGACAGCUUUAGAAAUAGAGCUUUCUUCGGACAAUUUUCAAGGUGCUGCAUGGUUGUCGUCAGCUCGUGCCGUGAGGUGUUAGGUUAAGUCCUGCAACGAGCGCAACCCCUGUCACUAGUUGCCAUCAUUCAGUUGGGGACUCUAGUGAGACUGCCUACGCAAGUAGAGAGGAAGGUGGGGAUGACGUCAAAUCAUCACGGCCCUUACGUCUUGGGCCACACACGUAAUACAAUGGCCGGUACAGAGGGCAGCUACACAGCGAUGUGAUGCAAAUCUCGAAAGCCGGUCUCAGUUCGGAUUGGAGUCUGCAACUCGACUCUAUGAAGCUGGAAUCGCUAGUAAUCGCGCAUCAGCCAUGGCGCGGUGAAUACGUUCCCGGGCCU
rnacentral:rRNA from 1 species